UGGAACUAAGCAGCACUUCAAACCACCUUCUCCCUCUCCUUAUUGUCCUAUAUAUUCUCUGACCUUAAGGCCACAUGACUUGGGUAAAAGCCUUAACCAGAAUAGUCAUGAAUCCAAGACCUGAUUGGUGCUGGCUUUCUGAGGCGAAGAGCUAUGUGUGGGUCUACAUUUAAAACAAAGGCAAGCUCUGCUAAGAGACUUUCAUGUGUGUACUGUGCAGGAAAGGUUUACUGUGGAAUAUGUUGUUCCCGCAUGCUGCUCAAACAUCAACCUCCUGUAAGCUAACCCAUCCUCAUACACGGUAAGUCAUGAUGAGCUAGCUGGAUGAGUAGCACAUGCAAUCUUUAAAGUACAGGAGCACGAGAACCCUCCAGCCGUGACGUCAAAGCAAGAAGGAGAUGGGAAACAGCUAUCGAGGUUUUUGGAAUGGCCUCAGUAACUGUGCUACUGACAAACUCAUCUUCGGACAAGGAACCCAAGUGACUGUGGAACCAAAAAAACAGCCUCCUGCCAAACCAUCUGUCUUCAUUAUGAAAAAUGGAACAAACGUUGCUUGUCUGGUGAAGGAUUUCUACCCCAAAGAUGUGAAUAUAAGUCUCAGAUCGUCCAAGAAGAUAGCGGAAUUCGACCCUGCUAUAGCCAUCUCCCCCAGCGGGAAGUACAGUGCUGUCAAGCUUGGUCAGUAUGGAGAUUCAAAUUCAGUGACAUGUUCAGUUCAGCACAACAGUGAAACUGUGCACUCAACUGACUUUGAACAAUAUGCAGAUUCUGUCGAUAAUGUAAAACCAACAGAACCUGCAAAAAAUGACACACAAACUUCAGAGCCUUGCCACGGCCCAAGAGUCAUGAUUCACGCCAAGAAGGUAAACACGAUGUCCCUCACAGUGCUGGGACUACGACUGCUGCUCGCCAAGACUGUUGCCAUCAAUUUUCUCUUGACUGCCAAGUUAUUCUUUUAAGGUGGGCUGGCAUGAGGAGACUGAAAGAAAUCAAAAGCUUAGAAAGAUGCUAUAUCCAAGGCUUCUAACUUCUCAGUGCUUCAAACUGACCCUUCUCCACCACAUUUACACAGCUAACAAAACUAGCUUUUCUGUGAUGGCAACAAGCCUAGGUAAUCCUCCAGUCUAGAAGAAAAACAAAAGCCCUUGGGAGUGGAGUGUGCCCUGGCUUUACACGCUGCUUUAUAAAGGCAUCGAAAGCUAUGAAAACAGAUCCAUUCUACUUUACCCCUAUAACUGGUAUACUUUGAAAAUGGUGUUUCAUCCUUCUCUAUUUACCCAGAACUGGAAAGUGGGGACCAGUAAAUCACCAGCUUCAUUAUCCAGGGGGAAAAUGGUUUUGGGAGAGAGAACCCAUACCUUUUUAGCUAAACGUGGAAAGCUGCUCAUCCCUAGCCAGAGCUCCCCUCCUCCUCUCCUGUGGCAGGAGGUAGGGCCCACUCUCUCUGUGUUUGCUCCAACAGCCACAUAGGAGAGUUUUCCUAGUAGCACUAGGGUGUGAACAAUGUUAGCACUUUCUGUUUCUCCUGAUACUUUACAAACAAAAUCACGUUUGGCUUCCUCAAUGCUCUCCAAGCAGACAAUAAAGCUUCUAAAAACGCA